UUUUUUUUGGAUUUUAUGGCCUGGUUACGAGACCUUUAAGCCAAGUCUUUAUUUUAAUUACACUGCACUACUAUUAAAGUUUUAACACUGUGUUUUUAAUGUAUUUGUAUAUUGGUUGAUAUGUUUGACUGUCUUUUAGUAGAUUAUUAAGCGGCGGCGGGCGGGAGGAAAAAUCACUAUUAUUUUUAAACACUUCAUUUAGUUCACUGGCAAGCACUAAUCUGUCAAUAAGAAACUUCUGACACUUAAAUAUAAGGUGGUUAACGGUUCCUUCUUCAGCUUCACAGAAAGUACAGAUAUUGUUUUGUAUCAAUCCAAGUCUGGCAAGGUGUGAUGGUGCAGCAUUGUGUCCGUAGCGCAACCGGUUUAUAGUAGUGAUAAAAUCUCGACUGGCUUUUUGCAGAAAAAUGUGAAACAACAUUGGAGAGUUGCCAAGAAGAAGACCCUCUCCAGUUGCCAAGGAACCAGACACAUUAACUCUAUGAGGUCGGAGAUGAGUGAAAUGAAACUAUCAGCGCAACUUCGCCCUCGACGAAAGCCGUACUGCAAAUAUGGAAUGAUACCAUUAGCCUCCACAAACCAAUCUAAACGGACUUUAAUCAUGUUUUCAAAUA